rnacentral:misc_RNA from 1 species
UCUCCGUAGGUGAACCUGCGGAGGGAUCAUUACAGAGUUCAUGCCCUACCGGGUAGAUCUCCCACCCUAUGUUAUUAUUACUUUGUUGCUUUGGCGGGCCGUUAGGCUCCGGCCCGACUACCGGCCCCGGCUGGUAAGCGCCCGCCAGAGGAACCAAAACCCUGAAUAUUAGUGUCGUCUGAGUACUAAAUAAUAGUUAAAACUUUCAACAACGGAUCUCUUGGUUCUG